rnacentral:lncRNA from 1 species
ACCUCAGAUUCGGAGCCACUGGUCCCCCUCAAUGUCUUGCUGUCUCCUCUGGGGACCUGGAAAGUCACCUGACACUAGAGACACUAGACACCGGGAAGGGGGGAGGGAAGAGAAGCUCUAUUUGGAGGAGGCACCUGAGAAGAUGAUAGGUAUGUACCUGAGUCUUCCUGAGUUGUUGGUGGGAAAUGGGGAGAUAUCAAAUGGAUGAAAACCAAACUGAACUGCAGUUCAUACCCGUAAUUCCUAGUCUUUUUCCAUGUGACUUAGUGGCUUUCUUAAGAUGUAAGUGAGGAUCCAGGGUUAGGUGAGGAGGUAGGUCUAUGCCUUGAAAGGAGCAGACCUCCUCUCAACCCCUUUCUUCCUUUCCUUUCUAUAAUCCUCAGCCUCCUCUGAUGCUUCCCUUAUUUUCCCAAACCACAGUCCAGACUAUAGCCCAGCAGCACGAAGAAUUCUGCCUCAAACAUCCACCUCACCUCACCUUUGAUCUCUGCAGUCAGGGCCUCAUCUCAUAAACAGACAUUACAGGUAGGAAGAAGUCUUGAUUUCAGUUACAAAAGUCGGAAGUUGAGGAGCGUCAGCCUGCUCUGAAUAGCAGUGGAUGGUGAGUGGGGGAAGGUGGAGGUGGUGGCCAGAGAGGAGACUUCUGGGCAGAGAAUUGGAAAUCCCUUUGAGGGAUUUCGUCCAUUUCUGCAGUGUGAUUUCUGUAAUGAAACUUCUUCCCCAUCUCUCUAAGAAAUCAUAACUAGAAUAUGAGUUUCUCUCCCUGUUAUGCAGAAUUGGAUUUGGAGGGGGGUGUUGGCAUUAACUGAAGUGCUUUCUCCUACCUGGUGGGGUAUGCAGGGGUGUGUCUGUGGAGCACUGUGAAAUCAUUUCCCAAAAAUGUAAAAGAAAAGGUAUCUGUGCCAUACACGUGUGUGUAUAUUGAUUUUAUCUUGAUUUUUAGUUGCCUACAGUUUUUGGUGAUUCAUGAGGCCUGGAAGAAUCAAAAUUUUAGAUUAUUGUUGAUUCAUGAAAGAGAAAAAUCUGAUACUGCCAGACCCUGACACAGUCUUCAGUAAUUACAUUAUGUUUCAUAAUUGUUUGGAAC